UACGUAGGUGGCAAGCGUUGUCCGGAUUUACUGGGCGUAAAGAGCGCGCAGGCGGUCGUUCAAGUCGCGUGUGAAAGCCCCCGGCUCAACUGGGGAGGGUCACGCGAUACUGAUCGACUCGAAGGCAGGAGAGGGUAGUGGAAUUCCCGGUGUAGCGGUGAAAUGCGCAGAUAUCAGGAGGAACACCGGUGGCGAAGGCGGGACUCUGGGCCGAUACUGACGCUGAGGAGCGAAAGCGUGGGGAGCAAACAGG
rnacentral:rRNA from 1 species